UGUCUUUUGAUUGAGAACUUAAUACAUGUACAUUCAAUGUAUUUAUUAAUAUGUAAGGACUUACUACUACCAUUUUAAAAAUUGUUUUCUGGCUAAUUUUGCUGAACAUUUGUUCCUUUCUUCUUCUUUUUCUGUUCUUGAUUAAGUGAUUUCUCUAUGCUUUGACUUCUUUCUGUUUAUCUUUUGUGUGUGUACAAGGUCAUUGUUGUGUGAUUACCAUGAGGCUUGAGGCUUAAAAAUCUUGUAAUUAUAACAGGCUAUUUUAAGCUGAAAAAAACUUAACUUCGAUCACAGAAAAAAACCUCUACAUUGUUGUUUCAUUCCCCUUGGUGCAUUUAACAUUUUUGGUGUCAUAAUCUACAUUUUUUUAAUUGUGUAUCAUUUAGCUAACUAUUAUAGCUAUUAUAAUUUUUAAUAGUUUUGUCUGUUAGGCUGUUAGGCUUAAUACUAAAGAUAGAAAUGAUUUACAAACCACCAUUACUGCAUUGAAGAAUUCUGAAUUUGAUUGUUUACUUACUUUUACCAGUGAAUUUUAUGCUUUCAUAUAUUUUCAUGUUACUAAUUAGCAUCUUUUUCUUUCAACUUGAGGAACUCCUUUUAGUAUUUUCUAUAAGACAGGUCUAGUGAUGAUGAACUCCCUUAGCUUUUGUUUUUUCUGGAAAAAUUUUUAUCUUUCCUACAUUUCUCAUUUCUGAAAGACAAUAUUUCCAGGUAUGGUAUUCUUGGUUGAAGGAAUGUAUACAAUAUAAACUUUUAACACUAUAAAUUUCCUUCUGGGCAUUGCUAUAGCAUUGCUAUAGCUGCAGCCCACAAAUUUUGAUAUGUUGUAUUUUCAUUUCAAAUCAGCUCUACAUAAUUUCCAAUUUCUUUUGAAACUUCUCCUUUGACUCAUGGAUUAUGUAAAAGUAUGUCAUUUAAUUUCCAAAUAUUUGGAGAUUUUUCAGAGUUUUUGCUAUUAUUUCCUAAUUUAAUUCCUAUUUGAUUGCAAAAUAUACUUUAUAUGAUUUAAAUUAUUUUUAAUUUGUUAUGAUUUGCAUUAUGGUUCAGACUAUGAUGUCCCUGAGCCUCGUUGGACAGGCACAGAGAUGCUUCUGGAAGCAACACUGCGAAGGCCACCCAAGGAGAGCCUCAGGUCUAGUUCUAACUUGUAUUGGUUGGUGAUGGUGGUAUGGAAAAAAACUACAUUCGUGAAACAUCAUUUGGUGAAUUUGAGAAGAAAUAUGUAGCCACCUUAAGUGUUGAGGUCCAUGUCCUCGUGCUCCAUUAUCAACAGAGGACCCAUUAAGUUCAACAUAUGGGAUAGAGCUGGCCAGGGGAAAUUUGUUGGACUGAGAGAUGGCUUUUAUGUCCAAGUCCAGUGUGCCAUUAUAAUGUUUGAUGUAACAUCAAGAGUUACUUACAAGAAUGUGCAUAACUGGCAUAGAGAUCUGGUACGAGUAUGUGAAAACAUCCUCAUUGUGUUGUGUGGCAACAAAGUGGAUAUUAAGGACAGGAACGUGAAGGCAAAAUCAGUUGUCUUCCACCAAAAGAAGAAUGUUCAGUAGUAUGACAUUUCUGCCAAAAGUAACUACAACUUUGAAAAGCUCUUCCUCUGGCUUGCUAGAAAGCUCAUUGGAGACCCUAACUUGGAAUUGCCAUGCCUGCUCUUGCCCCACCAGAAGUUGUCAUGGACCCAGCUUUGGCAGCACAGUAUGAGCAUGACUUAGAGGCUGCUCAGACAACUGCUCUCCCAAAUGAGGAUGAUGACCUGUGAAAAUGAAGUUGGAGCCCAGUGUCAGAAGUCUAGUUUUAUAGGCUGUCCUGUGAUGUCAGUGGUGCAGUGUGUGUGCCACUUUAUUAUUUAGCUAAGCGGAAAAUGUGCUUCAUCUGUGGGAUGCUGAAGGAGAUGAAUGGGCUUCAUAGUGAAUGUGGCAGUUUAAAAAAUACCUUCAUUGUUUGGAUCUGCAUAUUUAGCUGUUUUGGAGCGCAGUUGAUUCUCCUUGAGUUUCAAAUAUAAGAGUGCUAAUAGGCACUUCACAAUAUUCAGUGGUGAAAUCUUGUUUGUUAACUGUCACUCCCAUUCCUUUUUGUUUAGAAUCAGAAUAAAGUUGUAUUUCAAAUAUCU